CGAGUCUUCAAGCUCUCUACAUCAGUGUGGAUGGCUGGACGCAGGACAGAUCUGCGGUCUGAAGCAUUUAUUUGGAGCUGAAGGUGAGUGUGAUCACAAUGAGCCUUCGAGGAGCCUUCAUGUCACAGCAUCAGGACCGCAGCAUCACGGCUGACAGCGACGGCUCUCCCAGCAGCUCCAGGAAAGGUUAGACGGAUCAGACGGGGUGAGAGUUUCCAGUCAGAGAGCGAGACAGACAGGACAAGUGUGCAGAAGCCAUGAUGCUCAGCACUGGGACGAAGCUCCAGGAGCUGCCCAUCAGAGCAGAUGAUGUCCAGACAGGUACAAGACCUGCAAGGUCAUCGCUAACCCUGACAGGUUUCCUGAAAACCACCCUCGUCUGCUAUUGGUCCGUCAUACAGAUAGCCCCGCCCCCGAACUAACAUGAUUGGUUUACUCAGAAGUUGAAAGAUAAUUUUUUUUAAAAAACUAAAACUAACAAUGAUUGACUUAGUGACUCAUUAUAAACACUGAACUGAAACUUCUGAACUAAACUAUUAAAAACAUGUUAACUGAAAUCAAAUUAUUUGCUAAUUAGAAAUGUUUUCUUUGGUUAAUUAACUCAAUUAAUUUAAAGCAUUAAAAUGAAUAAAUAAAACGGAAAUAAAAAUAAACUCAAAGCUGCAGUCCGUAAGUUUUUCCUCUUUGUCGCCAUCUCUGUUUGAAAACUUGGAAUUGCAGCUGUGUGUGGAAUUAUCUUCCUUGCAUGGGUUGUGCACCAGCAUGGAUGAAUCUGAUGUUUUGAGGAAUAUGUGUUUCAGUCAG
ensembl:lncRNA